rnacentral:piRNA from 1 species
UGUAAUGAAUGUGGAAAUCGAUGGAAG